rnacentral:rRNA from 1 species
GGAUUAGAUACCCUGGUAGUCCACGCCGUAAACGAUGUGAGCUAGUUGUCGGGCAGUUUACUGUUCGGUGACGCACCUAACGGAUUAAGCUCACCGCCUGGGGAGUACGGUCGCAAGAUUAAAACUCAAAGGAAUUGACGGGGACCCGCACAAGCGGUGGAGCAUGUUGUUUAAUUCGAAGCAACGCGAAGAACCUUACCUACCCUUGACAUCCUGGUCGGGGAUUACAGAGAUGUUUUCCUUCGGUUCGGCCGGACCAGUGACAGGUGCUGCAUGGCUGUCGUCAGCUCGUGCCG